AUGCCCUGGAGCCGUUGUCAGAGGACAGACACCAGACAUGCCCUGGAGCCGUUGUCAGAGGACAGACACCAGACAUGCCCUGGAGCCGUUGUCAGAGGACAGACACCAGGCAUGCCCUGGAGCCGUUGUCAGAGGACAGACACCAGACAUGCCCUGGAGCCGUUGUCAGAGGACAGACACCAGACAUGCCCUGGAGCUGUUGUCAGAGGACUGACUAGGGUCCCCCAGCCACAUCAUAAGGGGCACAAAUGACCUGAGGGCCCAGCAGGAAAGGGUGGCCACAGCACAAGGGACAGUGACCCAAAACACCUCAAGGCUGUGUAAGGGCUAUUUGACCAAUAAGAAGAGUGAUGGAGUGCUGCAUCAGAUGACCUGGCCUCCACAAUCACCCGACCUCAACCCAGUUGAGAUGGUUUUGGAUGAGUUGGACCGCAGAGUGAAGGAAAAGCAGCCAACAACUGCUCAGCAUAUGUGGGAACUCUUUCAAGACUGUUGGCUAAGCAUUCCAGGUGAAGCUGGUUGAGAAAAUGCCAAGAGUGUUCAAAGCUGUCAAUCAAGGAAAAGGGUGGCUACUUUUUAGAAUCAAGCAUAUAAAUAAAUAAAACAUUGAUUUGUUUAA